AUUGAACGCUGGCGGCAGGCCUAACACAUGCAAGUCGAGCGGAUGAAGGGAGCUUGCUCCUGGAUUCAGCGGCGGACGGGUGAGUAAUGCCUAUGAAUCUGCCUGGUAGUGGGGGAUAACGUCCGGAAACGGGCGCUAAUACCGCAUACGUCCUGAGGGAGAAAGUGGGGGAUCUUCGGACCUCACGCUAUCAGAUGAGCCUAGGUCGGAUUAGCUAGUUGGUGGGGUAAAGGCCUACCAAGGCGACGAUCCGUAACUGGUCUGAGAGGAUGAUCAGUCACACUGGAACUGAGACACGGUCCAGACUCAUACGAGAGGCAGCAGUGGGGAAUAUUGCACAAUGGGCGAAAGCCUGAUACAGCCAUGCCGCGUGUGAAGAAGGUCUUCGGAUUGUAAAGCACUUUAAGUUGGGAGGAAGGGCAGUAAGUUAAUACCUUGCUGUUUUGACGUUACCAACAGAAUAAGCACCGGCUAACUUCGUG
rnacentral:rRNA from 1 species